UGCAUAUUAUUAUUUUCAGAAAAAGGCAUUUUCUAAUUUAGUUAACUCACAAUUUAAGUUAAAAGAAUGAUAGAUAGAAGAAGAAUUUUACUCAGAGUUAGUUUAUUCUUGUAGAAGAAGCACAAAAGGUUUUAUGAUUCUCUUAAAAAUGAUUAAUUAAUUAUUUCUAUAAGAAGCUCUAUGGAAGUUCUAAUCCUGCAGUGAAUUCAACAAUUGCUCAGCUUUCUAAAAUUCUGAAGUUUAAGUUGUCUGAAUCUCAAAAGCAGAUGCUUGAUGCAGGUAUUACUUGUGAGGAGAUAAAGGGGGUGGUUUUUUCUCUACUAAAGAAUAAAGCUCCAGGCCCAGAUGGGUUUACAGCAGAAUUCUUUCAGGAUACUUGGACUAUCACAGGGAGUUCUCUUAUUGACGCUAUUCAGAAAUUCUUCUCUAUUGGUCGGCUAUUGAGACUGAUUAAUUCAACCAUCAUAACCCAUGUUCCCAAGAGGUUGAAUGCUGAUCAUAUAAAGUUUUUUCGACCCAUAUCUUGUUGCAAUACUUUGUAUAAAUGCAUUGCCAAGAUUAUGGCUAAUAAGAUCAAAAUGGUGCUUCCUUCUCUAAUAAGCAAGAAUCAAAAUGCAUUUAUGAAAGGAAGGAGGAUAUCAGAUAACAUUCUCCUUGCACAUGAGCUUUUUACAGAAUAUCAUAUUAAGGGGAUUAGUUCAAUAUGUGCCAUCAAGAUAGAUCUGAUGAAGGCCUUCGAUUCGUCGAAUUGGUGUUUUAUUGAAAACGCUGUUGGGUUUCCUGUAAAAAAGGUGAAGUGGAUUGUUAGUUGUGUGACUUCCUCAUGGUUUUCUAUUGCAGUUAACGGUUCUCUUGCUGGGUAUUUCAAAGGUGCCAGGGUGGGAAACAAGGUGGUCCAAUGUCACCUCACUCGUUUGCUUUGGCUAUGGAGAUUCUCUCGCAAUUAUUAGAUGAAGUAGCAACGGAGGGUAAAAUAGCAUAUCAUUCCAGAUGUAAAGGUAUCCCGUUAACACUUCUCUGUAUUGCCGAUGACUUAAUGAUUUUUCACUUAUGGGCAAAUGAGCACUGUUCAAGUUGUGAUGGAGGUUCCAAAUAAAUUCUACAGGUUAUCUGGUCUGAGACUUAAUGCAGAAUAAGCAUAAAUAUUUGUUGUUGGUUGCUCUGAGGAGCAUAUUCAUAAUAUCCUAGAGUUUACUGGUUUUCAACUUGGCCAACUUCCAGUUCGAUACUUGGGUCUUCCUCUCAUAUCUGGCAGCCUUUCAGCUAAGGACUGUUCAGACCUUACUGAGAGGAUUACUGCUAUAAUUAAUUGCUGAACAACUCGAUAUCUGUCAUACACAGGGGGGUUGCAGCUAAUAGAUUCUGUUUUUUCAGCUUGGCAAGUUUUCGGUGUUCUGUCUUUAUCUUACCCAAGAGAGUGAUGAAAAUGGUGCGGCAACAAUGUAGUGUUUUCCUUUGGAAAGGUGUUAAAGGUACUACGAAGGGAGCGAAGGUGAAAUGGGAGGAUGUUUGCAUUCCUAAAAGUGAAGGUGGACUCUGUAAUACGGAGCUCGAACAGUGGAAUAAGGUUUGUGUGAUGAGGAAUCUUUGGCAAGUCUUAACUAAUGCGGUUUCUUUAUGGGUUGCAUGGAUUAAGUGCUAUAUGCUUAAAAGGUAGGAACAUAUGGACUGUUAAGCCUCAAAGCAAUAGCUCAUGGUGCUGGCGCAAACUACUAAAAACUGAGAGUCAUUGCUCAACCAAAGGAGAGUUACAAAGUAGAAGAUGGAAGUGGCAUUUCCUUUUGGUAUGACAGAUGGUGUGCAGGGGGGACCUUUGAUUGAACUGCGCACAAAUGGGCUUCAUUCUUCCCAACUAUCACUGCAAACCAAAUACUGAGUUAUGCGUUGAAAGAAGGUGCUUGGAUAUGGCCACGAAGUAGAGAUGUGCAAGCAGUAAAUAUCCACAGUGGUACUGAAACUUUUGUUCGUUUUUGCAGCACGCACACACUAGUAAUCUCUAGGAUUAUCUAGCAUCUAUAUCAUCCUCUAGAUCUCUUAACAAGAAAAUAACACACACUAUAUAUAGACUUUCUAUGGAGGUGAAAUGAUAAGGUAUUAGUUGUCUCAUGCAUGUUGACAACUAGCAUAACCAAUAAUUUGGGUUUGUCUUCAUUCAUCUAAGAUGACAACUAACAAUCUUGAGUAUUCAAAUUGGAUUUGUCAUCUUCUCCAUUAGGAUGCCAACUUGGUCCACUUGGAUAACAACUUGCACUUUAGAGUUCAAAUUGAUCUUCUCUUCUUAAUGGAGGUGCAAGGCGUCUAUUUUAAGUUGUCUUAACCAUGAAGUAAUUAUAUCCUAAUUGCAAAUUCCUUUUUAACACCCCCUUUUAAUUUGCAAAACCUGCAAUCUUUCGAAAUUGCUCAAGCUUUUCCGCUAUGACUUCCUUUGUGAAUAUAUCUGCAAGUUGGUCUUUGGUGCUAAUAAACUCGAGUUGGAUUUUGCCUUGUUGUACUUGAUUUCUUAUAAAGUAAUGUCGCAACGCGAUAUGCUUGGUCCUACCAUGAAAUAUUGGAUUUUUGGUCAUAGCUACUAUGGACAUGUUAUCACAAUAGACAAUUGUUGGAUUUUCUUGCAUCUGCAGUAAAUCUCAUAGAACUUUUCGUAACCAAAUUGCUUCACAUGUUUCAUAUGUUGUUGUGAUACACUCUGCCUCUGCAGAAGUAAGUGACACGGUCUUUUUCUUUUUCGAAGACCAUGAAAUUACUUUUGAUCCAAUGCAGAGAAUAUAUCCUGAUUUUUUUUUUCCGAUCAUCAAUUGAACGUGCCCAAUCACUGUCUGUAUAGCUUACGAGCUUGUUCUUCUUUUCCUUCAUAUAGUGAAUACCAAAUCUCUUCGUUCCUUGUAAGUGGCAGAGAAUCCACUUUGCUACUGAAUAGUGUUACCUUGCUUUGUUCUUGCAUAAAUCUUGAAAUCAGGCUGAUAGGAUACGUAAUAUCUGGCCUUGUAUUUGUUAGAUAAAGCAAUGAACCCAAUAAAUUUCGAUAAUUUGAGGCAUCAGAUUUUGGAGUGCCAUCAUUCAGAUACAAUUUGUCAUUCGCUGCAAGUGGAGUUGCAAUUGGUUUGCAGUUGUUCAUCUGAAAUCUUUUCAACAAAUCUUCUACUUAUUUCUCUUGGGAGAUAAGUAUCUCACUUUUGGAUUGUUGAACUUGAAUUCCAAGAAAAGACUUCAUGAGGCCUAAAUCUGUCAUCUCGUACUCGUUCAUCAUUGCUUUCUUGAAUUAUUGCACCAUCACAGGAUUGGUUCCUGUGUAUAUCAGAUCAUCAACGUAAAGACAAACAAUAAGAAAAUUUUUGUUAGCUACUUUCUCUAUGUAAAGUGAUGGUUCACUUUGACUUCGAGUAAAACCAUUCUUCUGAAAAUAUGCAUCGGUUUUGCUAUUCCAUGCUUGCGGUGCUUGCUUUUAGCCCAUAGAAAGCUUUCCGAAGGCUGUAAACUUUAUCUUCUUUGUCCUUGAUAACAUAUCCUUCAAGUUGUUCCACAUAGACUUCAUCUUCGAGUUCACCAUUAAGGAAUGCUAAUUUGACAUCAAGUUGAUAAAUCUGCAAUUAUAGUUGAGCAGAUAGGGGAAGGACAAGUCUGAUUGUCUCCAUGAGAGCAACUGGCGCAAAAGUUUCAUUGAAGUCAAUCCUCGUUGUUGAGAAUACCCUUUGGCUACUAAUUGGGCCUUUUGCCUCUGAAUUGAGCCAUCUUCCUUGUAUUCGGUCUUAUAAACUCAUUUUAGACCAAUAACAUCAUUUUAAUCGAGAAGAUCCACGGCUCCCAUGUGUGAUUCUUCUCUAUAAUUACAAUUACUUCAUCCAUAUCUUUUGUCCAAACUUCUUCUUUGACUGCGCCCUUGAAACUUUGGGCCUCACAAGCAUAAAAUGUUAAAUCGCAUGUUCCAUAUAGUUCACUUACUUGGCGAAAUUUUCUUGUAGGAGAUUCAGAGUUUGUUGAUUGCAAGUUUGAACUCGACGAUGACGAACUUGAGAUCAAACUUCUUUUGCUUGUGCUUGUGCUCAUGGUCGUGCUUGGCUUGCUCCAAGUUUUGCGUUGAGAAUUCGCUAAUUCUCCUCGUCUGCUUCAAGAGAACUCAUCAACUCAUCCAUGGAGAAUGUUGACAAAUCCUUUGAUACUUCGAUUGCAGCAACUAUGUGCUUGAAUCUAGCUAGCAAGCUCCUUCAAACUUUUUGUACUAUUUUCUUAUCCUCAAUGGUAUCUCCUUAGCGUCUAAUUUGAAUGACGAUAACAAAAACUCUCGAAGAGAAUUCCUGCACAUCUUCACUUUGCUUCAUGGCUAAGUUAUCUAACUCUCCCCAUAAAUUCUACAGUUUGAUGGAGAACACCACAUCAUAGCCUCCAAAUUGUUUUUUCAUAAUUUCCCAUGCUGUUGUUGAUGUAGUUACACCCAUGAGUUUAGGAAGAAUAGAUUUGCUUACCCCCUGGUGGAUGAAAGACAAUGCUUUUGCAUCUUUCAUUCGAUUUUCUGUGUGUUUGCUUUUGUUGCUAUGUAGACAGAGCUGCUAUUUCCUCCAAAUGCACUCACAGUUUCAUAGGAAUUCUCCACAAUAAUCUAAAAGGUCUUGGGAGCUGAAUAAUGUCUUCAUGAGGAUGCUCCAUAUCGCGUACUUCUCUCCAACGAAGAUUAGGAUACCUUGCUGAGAGUAGUUGAAAGCCAUGUGGUUGCUUGUCGAGGCCAUGGUGAUGGAAGCUGUUGGAGCUUUUGAAGGGGGAACCUAGCGCUGGUACCAAGAUGUUGGAGAUUGAGUGCUUUGAUGCUAGUAGGUGGUGGGUUUAUUGAAUUGAUGGAGGCAAUUGGGAAAUAUUUGGAGGAAAGAAUUAAGUAUAAUUGUAUUCUUUCAUAAGAACAUCCACAUGUAUGCAUUUACUGCUAGAAAACCGAGCACGUGCGCAGCGGAAAAGUUAAUUACGGUAAAAAUCAAAUUUUUAUC